UAUAAUUAACGACCCAAUUAAUUUUUUUCUCUAUUCUUUUAACGUUGUGCGUAGAGAGAGAGAGAGAGAGAGAUGAGGAUUUUCGGGAAGAAAGUAUAUCCAAGGCAGGUUGUACUUUUCGCUUGCGGGGUUUUAGUGUUGGCGACGACAAGCUACGAUGUUCACAGAUCCAUAAAGAACAACCAAGAACCCCCAUCAGAGGAGCAGCUCCAAGCUCUCCAGGACUACAUCAACUCCGCCCGCCGCCCGCCGCCCUCCACUUAAUUAUGCCUUCUCCAAUUACAAAUUAAAAUAAAUUGCGAUUUGCAUCGUCAAAUUGGUUCCUCUAAGAUGAAGACGAAGAUGAAGAUGAUCAUCUUCUCUACACCCCUUCUGCAGUUGUGUUUAUGGUUGUAGUUUUGCCACGUUGCCGACUCAAAAAUACUUAUAAAUACUAGUAAUAAAAUCAACGGCUGUAUCUCAUUCUUCUUUUUGGUGCUAAUUCUAUUGUUGUUUUGCACCUUGCCGAAAUCUUCUAUAAACCAUACGAGUUUUUUAGUAAUUAUUCAUCACUAGAA